rnacentral:tRNA from 1 species
AAAAAUGUGAUGGAAUUGGUUAGACAUGAUAGACUCAAAAUCUAUUGUAAUGUAAAUUACGUAAGGGUUCGAGUCCCUUCAUUUGUA